GUUGCUGGUAAAAAGCUUGUGCGGCUAGUGGAUUUUAAAAUCCACCUGCCACAGUGGCUGGUGGCCAAAAAAAGUUAGCUUCA